rnacentral:rRNA from 1 species
AAGCCUGAUGCAGCAACGCCGCGUGAGUGAUGAAGGCCUUCGGGUCGUAAAACUCUGUCCUCAAGGAAGAUAAUGACGGUACUUGAGGAGGAAGCCCCGGCUAACUACGUGCCAGCAGCCGCGGUAAUACGUAGGGGGCUAGCGUUAUCCGGAUUUACUGGGCGUAAGGUGCGUAGGCGGUCUUUCAAGUCAGGAGUGAAAGGCUACGGCUCAACCGUAGUAAGCUCUUGAAACUGGGAGACUUGAGUGCAGGAGAGGAGAGUGGAAUUCCUAGUGUAGCGGUGAAAUGCGUAGAUAUUAGGAGGAACACCAGUUGCGAAGGCGGCUCUCUGGACUGUAACUGACGCUGAGGCACGAAAGCGUGGGGAGCAAACAGGAUUAGAUACCCUGGUAGUCCACGCUGUAAACGA